UACGGGCUUAGUCCGUGCCGAUGGACAGCAGAUCAGGUUCGCGUGCAUCACCUUGACGGUAGGGUAAUGGCCUACGGUGGGAUUAACGCACACGGGGUGUUAGGGCACGACUCCGGAGAAUGAGCAUGAGAGACGGCUCAUAGUUCUAAGGAAGGCAGCAGGCGCGGAAAUUGCCCAAUGUACCGUUGUGUACGAGGCAGUGACGAGGCGUCGUGAGUCACUUAGGUGACAUUACGAUGAGUGAGGUGUACAGACCCUCGCAAAUGCAAGUCGUGGGAAAGCAUGGUGCCAGCAGCCGCGGUAAUUCCAUCAUGACUAACUCAUUCUUACGGUGCUGCAGUUAAAGCGUCCGUAGCUGGCGGCCUGCCGACUCGAGGAACUCUCGACGCCCAACGUAGCGAGCGCGGUGAGCUGCAGCGAGUUACGGCAACAACAACUAUCGCUAUAGGACAGGGGAAGGCUCCUUCUAUUAUAGGGGGACAGGUGAAAUAGGAUGAUGCCUAUAGGAGGAACAAGUGCGCAGGCACUGAGUCGUCCCCGGUUCGUUGGUCAAGGGCGUUAUCGUGGGGCUAGACGAUGAUUAGAGACCGUUUUACUCCACGUCGUAAACGAUGCUACCUCGCUGUGCGCUGUUCAAACACGUGCUUAGCGAAGAGAAAUCGAAGUGUACGACCCCUGGGGGGAGUAUGCUCGCAAGGGUGAAACUUGAAAGUAUUGACGGAAAGAUACCACCAGACGUGGAGUCUGCGGCUUAAUUUGACUCAACGCGCCAAUCUUACUAGACCCAGAUGCU
rnacentral:rRNA from 1 species